UAUUGGUAUCAAGAGCGGGAUUAAAUUCUCCUCCAACCUGCCAACUCCGGCAAGGUGGAAAAAAUGAUGCGGUUAACCAACAACCAAAGGAGUCUAA
rnacentral:ncRNA from 10 species